UACGGGGGGGGCAAGCGUUGUUCGGAAUCAUUGGGCGUAAAGCGCGCGUAGGCGGCCCGGUAAGUCCGUUGUGAAAGUCAAAGGCUCAACCUUUGAACGCCGAUGGAUACUGCCGGGCUAGAGUCCGGAAGAGGCGAGUGGAAUUCCUGGUGUAGCGGUGGAAUGCGCAGAUAUCAGGAGGAACACCAAUAGCGAAGGCAGCUCGCUGGGACGGUACUGACGCUGAGGCGCGAAAGCGUGGGGAGCGAACAGG
rnacentral:rRNA from 1 species